GGGUUGUGAGGUUAAGCGACUAAGCGUACACGGUGGAUGCCCUGGCAGUCAGAGGCGAUGAAGGACGUGCUAAUCUGCGAUAAGCGUCGGUAAGGUGAUAUGAACCGUUAUAACCGGCGAUUUCCGAAUGGGGAAACCCAGUGUGUUUCGACACACUAUCAUUAACUGAAUCCAUAGGUUAAUGAGGCGAACCGGGGGAACUGAAACAUCUAAGUACCCCGAGGAAAAGAAAUCAACCGAGAUUCCCCCAGUAGCGGCGAGCGAACGGGGAGCAGCCCAGAGCCUGAAUCAGUGUGUGUGUUAGUGGAAGCGUCUGGAAAGGCGCGCGAUACAGGGUGACAGCCCCGUACACAAAAAUGCACAUAUUGUGAGCUCGAUGAGUAGGGCGGGACACGUGGUAUCCUGUCUGAAUAUGGGGGGACCAUCCUCCAAGGCUAAAUACUCCUGACUGACCGAUAGUGAACCAGUACCGUGAGGGAAAGGCGAAAAGAACCCCGGCGAGGGGAGUGAAAAAGAACCUGAAACCGUGUACGUACAAGCAGUGGGAGCACGCUUAGGCGUGUGACUGCGUACCUUUUGUAUAAUGGGUCAGCGACUUAUAUUCUGUAGCAAGGUUAACCGAAUAGGGGAGCCGAAGGGAAACCGAGUCUUAACUGGGCGUUAAGUUGCAGGGUAUAGACCCGAAACCCGGUGAUCUAGCCAUGGGCAGGUUGAAGGUUGGGUAACACUAACUGGAGGACCGAACCGACUAAUGUUGAAAAAUUAGCGGAUGACUUGUGGCUGGGGGUGAAAGGCCAAUCAAACCGGGAGAUAGCUGGUUCUCCCCGAAAGCUAUUUAGGUAGCGCCUCGUGAAUUCAUCUCCGGGGGUAGAGCACUGUUUCGGCAAGGGGGUCAUCCCGACUUACCAACCCGAUGCAAACUGCGAAUACCGGAGAAUGUUAUCACGGGAGACACACGGCGGGUGCUAACGUCCGUCGUGAAGAGGGAAACAACCCAGACCGCCAGCUAAGGUCCCAAAGUCAUGGUUAAGUGGGAAACGAUGUGGGAAGGCCCAGACAGCCAGGAUGUUGGCUUAGAAGCAGCCAUCAUUUAAAGAAAGCGUAAUAGCUCACUGGUCGAGUCGGCCUGCGCGGAAGAUGUAACGGGGCUAAACCAUGCACCGAAGCUGCGGCAGCGACGCUUAUGCGUUGUUGGGUAGGGGAGCGUUCUGUAAGCCUGUGAAGGUGUGCUGUGAGGCAUGCUGGAGGUAUCAGAAGUGCGAAUGCUGACAUAAGUAACGAUAAAGCGGGUGAAAAGCCCGCUCGCCGGAAGACCAAGGGUUCCUGUCCAACGUUAAUCGGGGCAGGGUGAGUCGACCCCUAAGGCGAGGCCGAAAGGCGUAGUCGAUGGGAAACAGGUUAAUAUUCCUGUACUUGGUGUUACUGCGAAGGGGGGACGGAGAAGGCUAUGUUGGCCGGGCGACGGUUGUCCCGGUUUAAGCGUGUAGGCUGGUUUUCCAGGCAAAUCCGGAAAAUCAAGGCUGAGGCGUGAUGACGAGGCACUACGGUGCUGAAGCAACAAAUGCCCUGCUUCCAGGAAAAGCCUCUAAGCAUCAGGUAACAUCAAAUCGUACCCCAAACCGACACAGGUGGUCAGGUAGAGAAUACCAAGGCGCUUGAGAGAACUCGGGUGAAGGAACUAGGCAAAAUGGUGCCGUAACUUCGGGAGAAGGCACGCUGAUAUGUAGGUGAAGUCCCUCGCGGAUGGAGUUGAAAUCAGUCGAAGAUACCAGCUGGCUGCAACUGUUUAUUAAAAACACAGCACUGUGCAAACACGAAAGUGGACGUAUACGGUGUGACGCCUGCCCGGUGCCGGAAGGUUAAUUGAUGGGGUCAGCGCAAGCGAAGCUCUUGAUCGAAGCCCCGGUAAACGGCGGCCGUAACUAUAACGGUCCUAAGGUAGCGAAAUUCCUUGUCGGGUAAGUUCCGACCUGCACGAAUGGCGUAAUGAUGGCCAGGCUGUCUCCACCCGAGACUCAGUGAAAUUGAACUCGCUGUGAAGAUGCAGUGUACCCGCGGCAAGACGGAAAGACCCCGUGAACCUUUACUAUAGCUUGACACUGAACAUUGAGCCUUGAUGUGUAGGAUAGGUGGGAGGCUUUGAAGUGUGGACGCCAGUCUGCAUGGAGCCGACCUUGAAAUACCACCCUUUAAUGUUUGAUGUUCUAACGUUGACCCGUGAUCCGGGUUGCGGACAGUGUCUGGUGGGUAGUUUGACUGGGGCGGUCUCCUCCUAAAGAGUAACGGAGGAGCACGAAGGUUGGCUAAUCCUGGUCGGACAUCAGGAGGUUAGUGCAAUGGCAUAAGCCAGCUUGACUGCGAGCGUGACGGCGCGAGCAGGUGCGAAAGCAGGUCAUAGUGAUCCGGUGGUUCUGAAUGGAAGGGCCAUCGCUCAACGGAUAAAAGGUACUCCGGGGAUAACAGGCUGAUACCGCCCAAGAGUUCAUAUCGACGGCGGUGUUUGGCACCUCGAUGUCGGCUCAUCACAUCCUGGGGCUGAAGUAGGUCCCAAGGGUAUGGCUGUUCGCCAUUUAAAGUGGUACGCGAGCUGGGUUUAGAACGUCGUGAGACAGUUCGGUCCCUAUCUGCCGUGGGCGCUGGAGAACUGAGGGGGGCUGCUCCUAGUACGAGAGGACCGGAGUGGACGCAUCACUGGUGUUCGGGUUGUCAUGCCAAUGGCACUGCCCGGUAGCUAAAUGCGGAAGAGAUAAGUGCUGAAAGCAUCUAAGCACGAAACUUGCCCCGAGAUGAGUUCUCCCUGACUCCUUGAGAGUCCUGAAGGAACGUUGAAGACGACGACGUUGAUAGGCCGGGUGUGUAAGCGCAGCGAUGCGUUGAGCUAACCGGUACUAAUGAACCGUGAGGCUUAACCUUACAACGCCGAAGCUGUU
rnacentral:rRNA from 1 species